CGACAACGUCGCAUGAGUAACCGUGUUGUUAAAUAGCAGCUGCGGGCCUGCGGCGCAGGUUCAGACGACAAAAAGGCGUCGACGGCACGUAGGCACAAAUCGAGGCGUCGUAGUGUAAUUACGACGCAUUUUUUGUGUCAAAAGUUUGGAGUUCUUUGGAGUUUGGUGGCCAAUUUAUGUGGAGUAAAAUUUGGUCCAUGCAGAAAGAAAGAUUGUCAGCCUUUCAGAGAGCAAUUCAAAAUGGAAGACCCAUUGAAUAACUCUCUAUACAUCAGUUGCAAUCAGAGAAUUUGAAUGCAAGGAUCGGCUUUUGAAUUCAUUGGCAGCCUUGACGACUUUAUGCAUUUUCCUUGCCAUAAGUUCUGGUGUGUGUGAAUCAGCAUCUUUGGUCGCCUGUGGAGAUUUGAGAGAGAUGGAACUUUUCCUUUUCUUUAUGCUAGAGGCUGAUAACCAAGAAAUUUUUGACAUGGUUCUCCGCCUCACUGCUUAUCAUUAUCCUGAAAAUAUCGUCUUGCCACAAGGAUAUACUCCUCCAAAUCUGGCAGUUAGCAAACUUUACUGGAAGGCUUGGUUGAUGCUAUUGAUGCUGAUUGCUCAUAAUCCUGGCAGUCUUGGGUCUGAGGCAUGGAAUUCAUUCCCUCCUAUACUCCGAGCAUUGAUGGAGAUGUGUAUCACAAAUGAUUUCACUACUUCUUCUGGUACCACAGACCAGACAGAGUUGCAGGUGGCUGCAAUUGAAAAGCAAACCAUCUUGGAAUUCGAAACAGAUCUAGGAGCCGCCUCUACAAAAACUGUUAUUACCGAGAACAAUUCUUUGCUGCUUAGUCAAUUGACAUCACUUGAUCCACGAGGAUCUACGCGACAACCUCCUCCGGCUGUUAUUGAGCAGCUUCGAACUUUGAACGCAACACUUCGACUGGGUCACCUACUUUGUAGAAGUCGCCAACCGAACUUUUUAUUGUAAAUUCUGCAUAGGCAAGGAGCUGCGCAAACGAAGCCAUGGCUGGCUGAUUUGGUCGAGUCCAAUGAAGGUGCUUGGAACGUUCUGCCUGUUCAAUGUCUUUGUG